rnacentral:rRNA from 1 species
GACGAACGCUGGCGGCGUGCUUAACACAUGCAAGUCGAACGGAAAGGCCCUGCUUGCAGGGUCCUCGAGUGGCGAACGGGUGAGUAACACGUGGGUGAUCUGCCCUGCACUUCGGGAUAAGCUUGGGAAACUGGGUCUAAUACCGGAUAGGAACCAUCUUUAGUGUGGUGGUUGGAAAGUUUUUUCGGUGUAGGAUGAGCUCGCGGCCUAUCAGCUUGUUGGUGGGGUAAUGGCCUACCAAGGCGGCGACGGGUAGCCGGCCUGAGAGGGUGUACGGCCACAUUGGGAAUGAGAUACGGCCCAGACUCCAACGGGAGGCAGCAGUGGGGAAUAUUGCACAAUGGGCGCAAGCCUGAGGCAGCGACGCCGCGUGGGGGAUGAAGGCCUUCGGGUUGUAAACUCCUUUCGCUAGGGACGAAGCUUUUUUGUGACGGUACCUAGAUAAGAAGCACCGGCUAACUACGUG